UUCGCCCUUAGAGUUUGAUCCUGGCUCAGAACGAACGCUGGCGGCAUGCCUAACACAUGCAAGUCGAACGAAGGCUUCGGCCUUAGUGGCGCACGGGUGCGUAACGCGUGGGAAUCUGCCCUUAGGUUCGGAAUAACAGCUGGAAACGGCUGCUAAUACCGGAUGAUAUCGCGAGAUCAAAGAUUUAUCGCCUGAGGAUGAGCCCGCGUUGGAUUAGGUAGUUGGUGGGGUAAAGGCCUACCAAGCCGACGAUCCAUAGCUGGUCUGAGAGGAUGAUCAGCCACACUGGGACUGAGACACGGCCCAGACUCCUACGGGAGGCAGCAGAAGGG
rnacentral:rRNA from 1 species